AGUGUGUGUUGGAAACAGAAGUCAGUAAGGAGUGUGCUGAGAAGUGAGGAGAAGAAUAAAACUGGAUAUGUGAUGACGCCCAAUGGAUACCUGCACUUGUGAAGUCCCUGUCUCAUCGAUCUAAGCGAAGCUAUAUGUGACUUGCUUUGGCCAGUGGCCAUUACCAGAUGAGAUGCCCGCGUACACAGGAAAAGCCCUUUUGAAUUGGGGCUUGGACAUUCUUGCUCUUGAUAACACUGCUGCCAUGUAGAAGCCUGGGUUAGCCCAUCUGAGGACACGACCAUGAAGAGCAGACAUGAGCCUUCCUAGCUGAGGCCACAAGCUGACACACCAGCUGAUUACAGCCACAUGAGUGAACUCAGGCAAGUCAACAAGUGAACUGACAAGGCGGGCUUAGCUGGAAUCAUAGGCAAAUAAAUGAUUGGUCUUUUAAAUCA